CAUCUCUUUUUACCUGAGUUUUUGAUCUUAGCUAUUCUCACUGGUGUGAGGUGAAAUCUCAGGGUUGUUUUGAUUUGCAUUUCCCUUAUGACUUAAGAUGUUGAACAUUUCUUUAGGUGUUUCUCAGCCAUUCGGCAUUCCUCAGCUGUGAAUUCUUUGUUUAGUUCUGAACCCCAUUUUUUAAUAGGGUUAUUUGUCUAACUUCUUGGGUUUUUUGCAUCUUUUUAAUAUAAGCCCUCUAUCUGUUGUUGGAUUGGUAAAUAUCUUUUCCCAAUCUCUUGGUUGCCGUUUUAUCCUAACCACAGUGUCCUUUCCCUUCCAGAAGCUUUGCAGUUUUAUGAGACCCCAUUUGUCAAUUCUUGAUCUUAGAGCAUAAACCAUUGGUGUUUUGUUCAGGAAUUUUUUUCCAGUGCCCAUGUGUUUGAGAUGCUGGCCUAGUUUUUCUUCUAUUAGUUUGACUGUAUCUGGUUUGAUUUGGAGGUCCUUAAUCCACUUGGACUUAAGCGUUGCACAUGGUGAUAAGCAUGGAACGAUUUGCACUCUUCUACAUGCUGACCUCCAGUUGAACCAGCACCAUUUUCUGAAAAUGCUCUUUUUUCCAUUGAAUGGUUUUGGCUCCUUUGUCAAAAGUAAAGUGCCCAUAGGUGUGUGGGUUCAUUUCUGGGAGCUGCCUUAUGUAUAAUACCCAAGAGCUAGAAGAAUCCGUAAUGGCAUUCAUCAGAGGAAUGAAUACAGAAAAUGUAGUACAUCUAAACAAUUGUGUACUACUCAACUCUUAAAACCAAUUAUCUCAAGAAAGCCAAAGACAAAUGGGAUGAUCUAGAAAAUAUCAUAAUGAUUGAGGUUACCCAAUCACAAAAUGGUAUGAAAUCACACAUUUUAUGAAAUCACCAAAAGUGGAUAUUGGCACAAAAGCUAAAAUUACCAAAGAUGCAGUUCACAGACAACUGGAAGCUCAAUAAAAUGAUACACAAAAUGUGCAUGCUUUAAUCCUUUUCAAAAGGUGGACACAAUAAUAUCUAUGAAUUUCGAGCAGAGACUGAGGAAAUCCCAUUCAGAGCAGGCCGUACAUGUGGCAAAAAUAUAUACACAUCAGUCACCAAAACUAGAUAAGAUUGAUGGAGCUAAGAAGUGCAUUGUGCCAGGGACUGUAUAGAGAUCUUUCCUGUGAGACACAGCUAGAGCAUAUCAAAUAAAGAAGUGAAUUCUAGAGGCAAAUCAGUGAAUUGAAAACGGACAGUAGGGGAGUUAUAGAAAAAGAGGAGUGGGGCCGGUUAGGGAUCAUAUGUGCAGGUAAUAGGGAAAGGAAAUAACAUUUCAAAUGUAAAUAUAGAAAUACCCAAUUAAAACAGGAAUAAAAUUUGCUAAAAAAAUAAAAAGAAAUAAAGAAAUUUAAGAAAAGAACACUGCGAAGUAUUCACAGCUAUUGACUCAGAAAUGUAAAAGUCAUUUUCAUGGAAUGAUAGUCAGAGUAAUACUAAUGGAAAGACUGAGAUGAUGAAGACUCAACUAGAAACACUUCUCUCUCCCAGAUAUCAGUAUCAGACAAAAACUGCACUAUAGGCAUCCAGAGCAUGGUGGAAUUUACUCUGAGGCGAGGACUCAAUACUUGUCUUUCCAUUCUUCCUUAGGACCAUUUUCUUCUUGACAAAAAGAAUAAGGCUAUGAGAUCUCAGCAAAACAACUGUGCCCUGCCCAUCACUUGGCUUUGGAAUAAAAAAAAAUAAUGAUAUAAACUCUUUGACUUCCAGGAAUGAUAUGAACAGGAACUGUAAGAGCAGGAAGUCCAGAUGCUUCUGAGAGGACCCCAGCUCCUAAUUCCCAUUUGUAGACGGCUCAGAUCAAGACAAUCUCUUCAUGAAACAACUCAACACCUACUAAGGACUCAGAGAGCUUUCCCAAGGACCUUUUUUGUACCAAGACAGAAGGUCAACUUUCUUCUCCCCAUCUCUGAUAUCUUCAUCCUAUUUGUCCUCCCUCCCAAAUGGCUCUUUACACUGAAUUAUAGGCCAAUUAGUAAACCAUAGAUA